GUUUGCAACCAUACCACACUGGACAUUCCCAAUUUUGUCUGAUCCCGAAAGUUAAGCAGAGUUGGGCCUGGUUAGUACUUGGAUGGGAAAAAUCUUUAAUAUAGUUUUCUUUAUUUGCAGGUA
rnacentral:rRNA from 1 species